GCCGGCUCCGGCCUUGGCCAGCCCAGAAAGGGGAUCCUACAGUGCAGCGGGGGGCUGAAGGGCUCCUCAAGCGCGGCCAGAGUGGGCGCCAAGGCCGAGGAGGCGCCGAGAGCGAGUGAGGGCUGCUAGGGCCGCCAGCAUGCUGUCACCUCUCAUAAUGGGUUUCUGGACAGUGUUGUUAACAAUUCAUGGCGUGUGUUUCUGUGUCGGAGGCAGGAGGGAGCUGAAAAGAUGCAGUUUUAUCUCCAAAGGAAAGACGAGGUUUUGCCAUGUUGCCCAAGCUGAUCUCGAACUUCUUGGCUCAAGUGAUCUGCCUGCCUUCCAAAGUGCUGGGAUUACAGGCAUGAGCCACCAAGCGCAGCCAUGAUUUAUUAGAUCACUUCUAAAAGCCCUCUCUCCAUCUCCAAGCCAGCAAGUGCUUCUUUGCACCCCAGCUCUAAAACAAAGCCCUUGGGGACACAAUCAAAGACAGUAGUUGCCAAGAGGAAUAGGGAGCAUGGAAAGAAGGGUAAAAUUAAACUGCGGGACAUAGCGCAGAAGACUUGUCACAAUUUAGGACCAACCUACCAAGACUUCUUGAUCUCUUUCCACUUCUUGCCCCUCACUGUGUUUGAUUUCUGCCUUCCAGUCUGAACUUCUCACUAUAUUCCAGAAAAGGCCUGUUAAAGAGAUCUGGUAGUCAAAAGCAACCUCUUUUUUGCUUGUGCUCUCUGUUAUACAUAAGAAACCAGUCCUGCUGCAGCUCCAUAUUUGCAUUACUAAUUUAAUCAGUUAGCGGGACACAUGCUCUUUAUAACCCAAAAAAUUGAAGCAUGAAAUUUGGGAGUCAUACCCAUCACCCAAAUGUGGCAUAACAAUGUUCUUCUUCCCCGCAAAGCAGUGUCCUUCCCCAAAGAAAUUCUGGGGAUUGGCAUUUUCUUCAUCCACUCCUUUCAUUAUUUCCUUUACCUAUUUCUCUGAGUCUAUUAGCAUCCUUGGAGGGGGGAAUGUAUCUUAUUUAUUGUUAUAUCUCCCAGGCUCACACAUCACUCAAUAAAGGUUUGUUGAAUGAAACAAUAAAUGGAUGCAAGACUAAAUGAACAAAGAAAAGCCACGGGGAAGAUAACAAUGUUAUGUCAUAAUUCAGGAUCAUCUUUUUCUGUUUUUUCCCCUCCAGCUUUAUUGAGGUAUAAUUGACAAAUAAAAAUUAUAUAUAUUCAAGGUGUCCAACAAGAUGUUUUGAUAUACAUAUACAUUGUGAAAUGAUUACCACAAUCAAACUAAUUAGCAUGUCCAUUACCUCACAUAAUUACCUUUUUUAUGUGUGCUGAGAAUACUUAAGAUUUGCUUUCUUAGCAAAUUUUAAGUAUACAAUACAUUAUGAUUAACUAUAGUCAUCAUACUUUACAGUAAGUCUCCAGAACUUACUUCAUCUGCAGGUUUGUACUCUGACCAACAUCAUCUUAUUUCACUCCCCACCCCACUUUCAGCACUGGUAACCACAUUUCUAUUCUAAGCCUUCUGGUGAAAUUUCUUUCUUAUUUCACUCCCAGUGAGUAACACAAGAGAAAAAUAAACAACAAAAGCCAGUCAAUAAUUAUAAAGUGAAUCUUACCAGUAUAGAGUUAUAAGCCUUGUUUUUACUUCACUGAUAAUGUUGUCGUGAACACUGUUUGAAUAAUGAAGACUAAAGGAAUGAUGGCAUGCACUGUGAGUUCUUGAUGUGGUUGAAGCAAAAUUCCCAACAAACAGACAUUUUGCUAUUUCAUUAGUGUUUAUGGCUGAUAAAUACCUUGUAUGUUUGCUAUACUAUUGUGUUAGUAACAUAAUUUUAUUUUUAUGUAACACUAACAAUAAAUAGAUAAAAGCAAAAUUGGGAGGCCUAAAAUUUUAAUUUCAAGUUGUUGUUUGGAAAAAAAAUUACAUUUUGUUUUUAAGUAACUGACUUUGAGCUCCAAGGAUUUAAUUCAGUAAAUUGUCUCUCAGGAUGCAUGAAUAUAUAAGCAGAUUAACUGAUGGGCAGUGAAAUGCAAUUACCAAAUGAGUUUUCAAAAUUUUUCUCUAAUGCAUCCCUGGAGUAGAUUUUGUAUUUUAACAGAGACAUUUACCAGGCACAUGCUGACAUUUUAAGUGAUCUGAAAUAAAUAAAAAGCAGGACAGUCC
rnacentral:lncRNA from 1 species